rnacentral:rRNA from 1 species
GACGGAGGAUGCAAGCGUUAUCCGGAAUUACUGGGCGUAAAGCGUGCGCAGGCGGUUUCGUAAGUCUGUCGUGAAAUCCCCGGGCUUAACCUGGGAAUGGCGAUGGAGACUGCGAGGCUAGAGUUUGGCAGAGGGGGGUAGAAUUCCACGUGUAGCAGUGAAAUGCGUAGAGAUGUGGAGGAACACCGAUGGCGAAGGCAGCCCCCUGGGUCAAGAUUGACGCUCAUGCACGAAAGCGUGGGGAGCAAACAGG